rnacentral:rRNA from 1 species
CCUCGGCUAAUAUGAAAAUAGAUGUAUAGAGGGUGAUGCCUGCCCAAUGGUUGUAUCUAAAAGCGGUUGAUAAAAGUCGACCUUGUAAGGACAAUUGAAUGGCCGCGGUAACACUGACCGUGAUAAUGUAGCGUAAUCAAUAGCCAAUUAAUUGUUGGCCAGUAUGAAUGGCGCCACGAAGGCCCCACUGUCUUAAGGAAAUUCCCAGUGAAAUUGAAUUCGUAGUGAAGAUGCUACGUCCAAUUUGUUAGACGAAAAGACCCCGUUGAGCUUUACUGGAGCACUUAUAUGGCCCCGGCCUUCCCAUGCCUGGGAACCGGCCGAAUUUAAAUGGGCGGCUUAGAUUAUGUGGCAGCCCCCCGCUGGGGCAAAUGAAACACCACUCCCCCAUGUCAAAGGGGCUAACCCCCCCCCUUGGGGGGACAGUGUAAGUAGGACAGUUUGGUUGGGGCGACCGCCUUUUAAAAAGUAACGAAGGUGCGCUUAAGGUGUGCAAUUAAUGACUGAAGCCUGACUGCGAGGGGGGUACCCCGAGCAGACACCCCUAAGCCCGCCCGAAGGGCGGCGGUGGGGUGGGCCAUAGUGACCCGUUAAUUUAGAGUGGAAUAGUUAACGAUCAACGAAUAAAAGUUACCACGGGGAUAACAGCGUAAUAUCGUUAGAGAGUUCACAUCGACGACGAUGUUUGCGACCUCGAUGUUGAAUUGCGGCAUCCUGGGGUGCAGCCGCUCCCAAGGGUU